GCAAGAGCUCAGAUUUGAAAUCGUGCUUUGCGGCACGAGUUGUAGAUUGCAGGUUGGAGUCUGUGUGGAAGGCGGUGUCCAAGUCCCUUGGAACAGGGCGCCCAGGAGGGUGAGAGCCCCGUGGGAUGCCGGCGGAAGCAGUGAGGCCCUUCUGACGAGUCGAGUUGUUUGGGAAUGCAGCUCCAAGCGGGUGGUAAAUUCCAUCUAAGGCUAAAUACUGGCGAGAGACCGAUAGCGAACAAGUACUGUGAAGGAAAGAUGAAAAGCACUUUGAAAAGAGAGUGAAACAGCACGUGAAAUUGUUGAAAGGGAAGGGUAUUGCGCCCGACAUGGGGAUUGCGCACCGCUGCCUCUCGUGGGCGGCGCUCUGGGCUUUCCCUGGGCCAGCAUCGGUUUUUGCUGCAGGAGAAGGGGUUCUGGAACGUGGCUCUUCGGAGUGUUAUAGCCAGGGCCAGAUGCUGCGUGCGGGGACCGAGGACUGCGGCCGUGUAGGUCACGGAUGCUGGCA
rnacentral:rRNA from 1 species